UACGAGGGGUGCAAGCGUUGCUCGGAAUUAUUGGGCGUAAAGGGUAGGUAGGUGGUCUCAUUUGUCUGUUGUGAAAGCCCCGGGCUCAACCUGGGAAUGGCAAUGGAUACUGGCGAGCUAGAGUGUGUCAGAGGAUGGUGGAAUUCCCGGUGUAGCGGUGAAAUGCGUAGAGAUCGGGAGGAACAUCAGUGGCGAAGGCGGCCAUCUGGGGACAACACUGACGCUGAGGCACGAAAGCGUGGGGAGCAAACAGG
rnacentral:rRNA from 1 species